AGCUCCGUAUCUUUAAAUAUUAUGGUCAUAUGCAUGGAUGGUGCCAAAUGAAACUAGUCCACCCAUCAUAAAGUGAAAGAUGACAGCCAGGAGUUACCUAAAGACCCACAUAAAUGUGUCAGACCAAUUAAAACAACCUCAUUUAGUGAUUACUACCAGACAUGGUCCAGAAUAGCUACAUCAAAAGCCACAGAAUACUACAGAACUCCAUUGCUCAAAGUUCCAAGUUUCAUUGGACAGUAUUACAAAUGGAAGAAAAUGGAUCUACAGCAUCAGAAAGAAUGGAAUUUAAAAUGAAAAAUCUUUCUUUGGAAGCAGCAUGGGGGAAGAGCAUGAGCUUCAGAGUCAAAUAGAUGUUGGAGAAAUUCUUAACCACUCUGAACUUGUUUUUUUAUCUGUUAAAUGGAGAUAACCUUACCUAUCUUGCAAAGUUGUUUUGCAUUUGACGCUUAUUAUUUUAUAUAUAUGAUUUCAUUCAAGAGAUAUAAAUAAAAAUUAUAUAUAAA
rnacentral:sRNA from 1 species